GAUGAACGCUGGCGGCGUGCCUAAUACAUGCAAGUAGAACGCUGAAGGAAGGAGCUUGCUCUUUCCGGAUGAGUUGCGAACGGGUGAGUAACGCGUAGGUAACCUGCCUGGUAGCGGGGGAUAACUAUUGGAAACGAUAGCUAAUACCGCAUAACAGUAGAUGUUGCAUGACAUUUACUUGAAAGGUGCAAUUGCAUCACUACCAGAUGGACCUGCGUUGUAUUAGCUAGUUGGUGAGGUAACGGCUCACCAAGGCGACGAUACAUAGCCGACCUGAGAGGGUGAUCGGCCACACUGGGACUGAGACACGGCCCAGACUCCUACGGGAGGCAGCAGUAGGGAAUCUUCGGCAAUGGACGGAAGUCUGACCGAGCAACGCCGCGUGAGUGAAGAAGGUUUUCGGAUCGUAAAGCUCUGUUGUAAGAGAAGAACGAGUGUGAGAGU
rnacentral:rRNA from 1 species